rnacentral:rRNA from 1 species
UACGAAGGGGGCUAGCGUUGCUCGGAAUUACUGGGCGUAAAGCGCGCGCAGGCGGCUAUCCAAGUCAGUGGUGAAAGCCCGGAGCUCAACUCCGGAACUGCCAUUGAAACUGUUUAGCUUGAGGAUGAGAGAGGUGAGUGGAAUUCCCAGUGUAGAGGUGGAAUUCGUAGAUAUUAGGAAGAACACCAGUGGCGAAGGCGGCUCACUGGUCCGGUACUGACGCUGAGGUGCGAAAGCGUGGGGAGCAAACAGG